GUACUUACUCCUACGGGAGGCAGCAGUGGGGGAUAUUGCACAAUGGGCGCAAGCCUGAUGCAGCGACGCCGCGUGGGGGAUGAAGGCCUUCGGGUUGUAAACUCCUUUCGCUAGGGACGAAGCUUUUUUGUGACGGUACCUAGAUAAGAAGCACCGGCUAACUACGUGCCAGCAGCCGCGGUAAUACGUAGGGUGCGAGCGUUGUCCGGAAUUACUGGGCGUAAAGCGCGCGUAGGCGGUUUUUUAAGUCUGAUGUGAAAGCCCACGGCUCAACCGUGGAGGGUCAUUGGAAACUGGAAAACUUGAGUGCAGAAGAGGAAAGUGGAAUUCCAUGUGUAGCGGUGAAAUGCGCAGAGAUAUGGAGGAACACCAGUGGCGAAGGCGACUUUCUGGUCUAUAACUGACGCUGAUGUGCGAAAGCGUGGGGAUCAAACAGGAUUAGAUACCCCGGUAGUCCAGGCAU
rnacentral:rRNA from 1 species